rnacentral:rRNA from 1 species
CCUACGGGGGGCAGCAAUGAGGAAUAUUGGUCAAUGGGCGGAAGCCUGAACCAGCCAAGUCGCGUGAGGGAAUAAGGCCCUACGGGUCGUAAACCUCUUUUGCCGGGGAGCAAGGGCCGGGACGCGUCCCGGCCCGGAGAGUACCCGGAGAAAAAGCAUCGGCUAACUCCGUGCCAGCAGCCGCGGUAAUACGGAGGACGCGAGCGUUAUCCGGAUUUAUUGGGUUUAGAGGGUGCGUAGGCGGGCUUUUAAGUCAGCGGUAAAAAUUCGGGGCUCAACCCCGUCCGGCCGUUGAAACUGGGGGC